AGCAGCCGCGGUAAUUCCAGCUCCAAUAGCGUAUAUUAAAGUUGUUGCAGUUAAAAGGCUCGUAGUUGAACUUCGGGGUUUACCCAUUGGUCAGGCUUAAUUGUCUGUACUGGUGAGAUGAAUCUCUACCUUCUGAGGAACUUUCAUGCCAUUUAUUUGGUGUGAUGGGAAAUCAGGACUGUUACUUUGAAAAAAUUAGAGUGUUUAAAGCAGGCUAACGUCUGAAUACAUUAGCAUGGAAUAAUGAAAUAGGACGGACUGAUUCUAUUUCGUUGGUUUCUAGGAUCACCGUAAUGAUUAAUAGGGAUAGUUGGGGGCAUUAGUAUUCAAUUGUCAGAGGUGAAAUUCUUGGAUUUAUUGAAGACUAACUACUGCGAAAGCAUUUGCCAAGGAUGUUUUCAUUAAUCAAGAACGAAAGCUAGGGGAUCGAAGACGAUCAGAUACCGUCGUAGUCUUAACCAUAAACUAUGCCGACUAGGGAUCGGACGAAGUUAAUUUUAUAAUGACGCGUU
rnacentral:rRNA from 1 species